GAGGAGAGCAGCGGGAGGAGAGCAGCGGGAGGAGAGCAGCGGGAGGAGAGCAGCGGAGAGCGGGAGGAGAGUGGAGAGAGAGAGUACAGCGGAGAGCGGGAGGAGAGUGGAGAGAGAGAGUACAGCGGAGAGCGGGAGGAGAGUGGAGAGAGAGAGUACAGCGGAGAGCGGGAGGAGAGUGGAGAGAGAGUACAGCGGAGAGCGGGAGGAGAGUGGAGAGAGAGAGUACAGCGGAGAGCGGGUGGAGCUGAGAGAGGGAGGAGAAUGGAGAGCAGAAGGAGAGUGGAGAGAGGGGGAGAGUGGAGAGAGAGAGUACAGCGGAGAGCGGGAGGAGAGUGGAGAGAGAGUACAGCGGAGAGCGGGAGGAGAGUGGAGAGAGAGAGUACAGCGGAGAGCGGGAGGAGAGUGGAGAGAGAGUACAGCGGAGAGCGGGAGGAGAGUGGAGAGAGAGUACAGCGGAGAGCGGGAGGAGAGUGGAGAGAGAGAGUACAGCGGAGAGCGGGUGGAGCUGAGAGAGGGAGGAGAAUGGAGAGCAGAAGGAGAGUGGAGAGAGGGAGGAGAGCGGAGAGCGGGAGGAGAGUGGCGAGCGGGAGGAGAGCCGAGAGCAGAGAGAGCCCCCACGCCCUUCUAACCCACACACUCUGUGUCACCACCGUGGUCAAGAAAAUGAUCAGCCAACAAGCUGGAAGAGGUAGAGGAGAGGAAAAAGAGUGGAGAAAGAGAGGAAGAGUGAACUCUGUCCAUUUAAGAUACUCCAAACGUUCCAGUUUCCUCUAUGGAUUAUCCAGAGCCCCAUGGACGUAUGGAGG
ensembl:lncRNA